rnacentral:rRNA from 1 species
CACCGCGGUUACACGAAAGACCCAAAUUGAUAGACAUCGGCGUAAAGCGUGGUCAAGACUACACUAACUAAAGUUAACCCUCCCCCCAGCCGUUACACGCCCUAAGAAAGGAAGACCAAUUACGAAAGUGACUUUAUUAUCUCUGAACCCACGGCAAUUAGGGGA